rnacentral:rRNA from 1 species
UACGGAGGGGACUAGCGUUGUUCGGAAUUACUGGGCGUAAAGCGCACGUAGGCGGAUUUGUAAGUCAGGGGUGAAAUCCCGGGGCUCAACCUCGGAACUGCCUUUGAUACUGCAAAUCUCGAGUCCGGAAGAGGUGAGUGGAAUUCCUAGUGUAGAGGUGAAAUUCGUAGAUAUUAGGAAGAACACCAGUGGCGAAGGCGGCUCACUGGUCCGGUACUGACGCUGAGGUGCGAAAGCUAGGGGAGCAAACGGG